rnacentral:lncRNA from 1 species
GGAAAACCUAUUCCUACUCCCUUUUUACAAUUCUCUUCCUUCUCUCUAAACUGAGGGGGGAAGACCACUUGUAAUAAAAUAUCAGUCUAGUAAAAGAAGUUCCCAUUUCAGCCAUGUCCAAAAAUGUUUGUCUCAUUUUACAACUUGAGUUUUUACAUCUGGGUCCGUAGGACCUCACACAGUAUUGGUCACAUAGUAGGAGACAUUCAAUGGAAGAAUGAAAGAAUACAUCAAAAGGAGUCUAUUCAGGCAGCUGAGUUUAAGUGGCUUGAAGACAUUUACAUAACCAGCAAAUACAUGAAGUGAAUCUUGAACUCAAAUCUUAUGACUACAAGAAAUGAUUAACAGGACAAUUUAAGAAAAAUGCUGAAAAAGAUCUACAUGAACUGAUGCAGAGUGAAAUAAGCAGAACCAGGAAAACACUGCUCACAGUAACAGCAAUAUUGUAUGAGGAGAAUCUGUGAAAGACUUAGCUACUUUCAGCAAUGUAUGGCCCAAGACAAUUAUGAAGGAUAAAUAACAAAGAUUGCUAUCUACCUCCAGAGAAAGAACUAUCAGAGUUGGUUGUAGAUGGCAAAUUAAAGCUUAUUUUUUUUCACAUUUAUUUAUGACUUUAUUUUGGGAUUUUGGUUUUGUAUGAGAAUUCUCUCAUAACAAUGACCAAUAAGAGACUAUGUUUUGCAAAAUAUGUGUAUUACCCAGCUCAAACUGCUUACCAUCUCUGAGAAGAGGGAGAGGAGGGGGUGGGGAGAAUUUGGAUUUUAUAAUUUUGGAAAAUGUAUAUUGAAAAUUGUAUUGCAUGUAAUUGGAAAAAUAAACUAUCUUUGAAUAAAAAAAUAAAUAAAAUU